rnacentral:rRNA from 1 species
CCUACGGGAGGCAGCAGUGGGGGAUAUUGCACAAUGGGGGAAACCCUGAUGCAGCGACGCCGCGUGAGUGAAGAAGUAUUUCGGUAUGUAAAGCCCUAUCGGCAGGGAAGAAGCAAGACGGUACCUGACUAAGAAGCCCCGGCUAACCACGGGCCAGCAGCCGCGGUAAUAAGUAGGGGGCGAGCGUUAUCCGGAUUCACUGGGUGUAAAGGGAGCGUAGACGGCAAUGCAAGUCAGAGGUGAAAGCCCGGGGCCGAACCCCGGGACUGCCCUUGGAACUGUGCGGCUAGAGUGCGGGAGGGGCAGGCGGAAUUCCUGGUGUAGCGGUGAAAUGCGUAGAUAUCAGGAGGAACACCGGCGGCGAAGGCGGCCUGCUGGACCGCGACUGACGUUGAGGCGCGAAAGCGUGGGGAGCGAACAGGAUUAGAUACCCCUGUAGUC